GUGACUGCGUACCUUUUGUAUAAUGGGUCAGCGACUUAUAUUCUGUAGCAAGGUUAACCGAAUAGGGGAGCCGGAGGGAAACCGAGUCUUAAUUGGGCGUUAAGUUGCAGGGUAUAGACCCGAAACCCGGUGAUCUAGCCAUGGGCAGGUUGAAGGUUGGGUAACACUAACUGGAGGACCGAACCGACUAAUGUUGAAAAAUUAGCGGAUGACCUGUGGCUGGGGGUGAAAGGCCAAUCAAACCGGGAGAUAGCUGGUUCUCCCCGAAAGCUAUUUAGGUAGCGCCUCGUGAAUUCAUCUCCGGGGGUAGAGCACUGUUUCGGCUAGGGGGCCAUCCCGGCUUACCAACCCGAUGCAAACUGCGAAUACCGGAGAAUGUUAUCACGGGAGACACACGGCGGGUGCUAACGUCCGUCGUGAAGAGGGAAACAACCCAGACCGCCAGCUAAGGUCCCAAAGUCAUGGUUAAGUGGGAAACGAUGUGGGAAGGCCCAGACAGCCAGGAUGUUGGCUUAGAAGCAGCCAUCAUUUAAAGAAAGCGUAAUAGCUCACUGGUCGAGUCGGCCUGCGCGGAAGAUGUAACGGGGCUAAACCAUGCACCGAAGCUGCGGCAGCGAACGUAUCACCCAAGACAACUUUACGGAGUUGACGAUUGACGGAGCGAAGCGACGUCAAAGCGUUCAUUAAAGUCGAGUUGGCUUAGGGAUACGUUCGUUGGGUAGGGGAGCGUUCUGUAAGCCUGUGAAGGUGUGUCGUGAGGCAUGCUGGAGGUAUCAGAAGUGCGAAUGCUGACAUAAGUAACGAUAAAGCGGGUGAAAAGCCCGCUCGCCGGAAGACCAAGGGUUCCUGUCCAACGUUAAUCGGGGCAGGGUGAGUCGACCCCUAAGGCGAGGCCGAAAGGCGUAGUCGAUGGGAAACGGGUUAAUAUUCCCGUACUUGGUGUUACUGCGAAGGGGGGACGGAGAAGGCUAUGUUGGCCGGGCGACGGUUGUCCCGGUUUAAGCGUGUAGGUGUGUGUUCCAGGUAAAUCCGGUUCACUUUAACACUGAGGCGUGACGACGAGGCACUACGGUGCUGAAGCAACAAAUGCCCUGCUUCCAGGAAAAGCCUCUAAGCAUCAGGUAACACGAAAUCGUACCCCAAACCGACACAGGUGGUCAGGUAGAGAAUACCAAGGCGCUUGAGAGAACUCGGGUGAAGGAACUAGGCAAAAUGGUGCCGUAACUUCGGGAGAAGGCACGCUGACACGUAGGUGAAGUGAUUUACUCAUGGAGCUGAAGUCAGUCGAAGAUACCAGCUGGCUGCAACUGUUUAUUAAAAACACAGCACUGUGCAAACACGAAAGUGGACGUAUACGGUGUGACGCCUGCCCGGUGCCGGAAGGUUAAUUGAUGGGGUCAGCGUAAGCGAAGCUCCUGAUCGAAGCCCCGGUAAACGGCGGCCGUAACUAUAACGGUCCUAAGGUAGCGAAAUUCCUUGUCGGGUAAGUUCCGACCUGCACGAAUGGCGUAAUGAUGGCCAGGCUGUCUCCACCCGAGACUCAGUGAAAUUGAACUCGCUGUGAAGAUGCAGUGUACCCGCGGCAAGACGGAAAGACCCCGUGAACCUUUACUAUAGCUUGACACUGAACAUUGAGCCUUGAUGUGUAGGAUAGGUGGGAGGCUUUGAAGUGUGGACGCCAGUCUGCAUGGAGCCGACCUUGAAAUACCACCCUUUAAUGUUUGAUGUUCUAACGUGGACCCGUAAUCCGGGUUGCGGACAGUGUCUGGUGGGUAGUUUGACUGGGGCGGUCUCCUCCUAAAGAGUAACGGAGGAGCACGAAGGUUGGCUAAUCCUGGUCGGACAUCAGGAGGUUAGUGCAAUGGCAUAAGCCAGCUUGACUGCGAGCGUGACGGCGCGAGCAGGUGCGAAAGCAGGUCAUAGUGAUCCGGUGGUUCUGAAUGGAAGGGCCAUCGCUCAACGGAUAAAAGGUACUCCGGGGAUAACAGGCUGAUACCGCCCAAGAGUUCAUAUCGACGGCGGUGUUUGGCACCUCGAUGUCGGCUCAUCACAUCCUGGGGCUGAAGUAGGUCCCAAGGGUAUGGCUGUUCGCCAUUUAAAGUGGUACGCGAGCUGGGUUUAGAACGUCGUGAGACAGUUCGGUCCCUAUCUGCCGUGGGCGCUGGAGAACUGAGGGGGGCUGCUCCUAGUACGAGAGGACCGGAGUGGACGCAUCACUGGUGUUCGGGUUGUCAUGCCAAUGGCACUGCCCGGUAGCUAAAUGCGGAAGAGAUAAGUGCUGAAAGCAUCUAAGCACGAAACUUGCCCCGAGAUGAGUUCUCCCUGAGACUUAGAGUCUCCUGAAGGAACGUUGAAGACGACGACGUUGAUAGGCCGGGUGUGUAAGCGCAGCGAUGCGUUGAGCUAACCGGUACUAAUGAACCGUGAGGCUUAACCUUACAACGCCGAAG
rnacentral:rRNA from 1 species